CAAGUGUUACAUGCUGCAGCACAGACAACUGCAACUCCGUCACUCUGCCUUACCCUGCGGUUCCAGCAGAUAACAGUCUACAGUGUCACGUUUGUAACCCCAGCACCUCUGAUUGCAGCCUUUCAAUACAAUGUAAGGGAACAGAGGAUCGCUGCUUUCAAGCCAGUGUGACAAAUGGGGCCGGCACUUCUCCAGCAUGUGGCUGUGCAUCUUUAAAUCUGUGUGAAGCUGCUACCAUCCUGGGGACACUGCCUUUCAUGCAAGAUGUUGGUACCAUUACCAGUGGACCAGCCUGUUGUGGGACUAGUUUGUGUAACACUCUCACUGCAACAACAAAAACCACUACCCCAACAACAACAACAACUACCCCAACAACA